rnacentral:sRNA from 1 species
UUGUAUGAUGAGAUUUUCAACAUCACAUCAGUGAUUAUUACAAAUACAUAGACAUAUAAUAUGUAAUAUGUAAUAUGUAAUAAUCACUGAUGUGAUGUUGAAAAUCUCAUCAUUAAU